GACCGGUCCCUGAUAGGAGAGACCGGUCCCCUCGGAACAGUGUUGCGGCAGUCUGCGAGGCAACCGGUCCCUUACGGAUGAGAUCGGUCCCCGAGCGCGACUACGCGGGGAGAGACCGGUCCCAUGCGGGGAGAGACCGGUUCCCGAACAUUGGUUUUGCGGGAUGAACCGAGAGACCGGUCCCAGGCAAGGAGAGACCGGUCCCUCUGGGCGAAAAUUGC
rnacentral:lncRNA from 1 species